AACUCCUGACCUGAGUCGAUCUGCCUGCCUCAGCCUCCCAAAGUGCUAGGAUUACAGGCAUGAGCCACUGCACCUGGCCUGUUUUAAAGGAACAAUCAGAGUGUCAGGCAUCCAGCACAUUCCCAUGCUGCCACUUACUAUGAUUUCCUCCCCUCCCUGGACCUCAGUUUUCUCACCUGUUGAAUGGGGACAGUUACCCCAUCCCCCAAGGUUGCUGCACAGAUGAGCAGUAAGGAUGGACAUUCUUGGGGGCUGGGCAUGUGACCUAGGUCCCGGCAAGAAAUAUUCCUGUGUUCUCCCUCCCCCUGCUUCUGCCCCACCCCCUCCCUCCUGCCCCACCCUCCAGCUUCCAGGGUACACUGCUAAUGGGGUGGUAGUGGGGGUCCGAUGUCACUACACAUAUGAAAGGCCACCUUCCCCGAGGCGGGAGGUACUGCUGAGCACUGGCCCUGCAUCACCGCCAAGUGGAUAUGGAGCUCUGGACCACAGCCCUGGGACCACCUCCCAGCUUAGCCUGCCACUACAUCCUCUCAGGUAAGCCCAGGCCCGCUCAGCCUGCUGCUCAUCUGGGCAACUGAGACAUAACCACCGCUCUGCUGGAGCCUGCGUGAGUCCACAGCUGAGUGACGUUGUGGGGGAACCAUAAGGAGCCUCGUUCAGCCUCCGCCGGAAACGAGCCGGACCAGGGUGCCUGUACGUGCGUUUUCCCAGGACACCCCCAGGUGAAUAGGGAUCCAGGCCUCGGCUCUGCCUCCACCCAAGGCUCGUCUCUGGGCCGGGCUUCCCUCCACAUCAGGGCUCAUAAAGCCUGCAGCGCCAGGAUUGGACCCACAGGCCCCAGGCCACUCCACCCCACCUGUGAACUGCGCCAGAAGGUUCUCUCAAGGCCAGUAGCAUCGCUCUCUCCACCUGUCACAGCAGCAUCCCAGCCCCCACUGAGCAUCAGGCCCUGCAGGAUCUGAGCCCUCCCCCACCAAGGGUGGGAUCCAGGGUCUCCAGGUCUUGUGAGACUUCACUCCUGGCCCGGAGACCCCAGACCCAGAGCUGCCCCAAGGUAUCUCAUCUCCUGGGCCUCUGUGUCCCCAUCUGUGAGGUGGUGGUCAAGCCAGUGGGUUUCAGGGUAUCUUUCUGUUCUUGGAGACCUCCCUAUAGGUGACCCAGAAGGCCAGUCACAGUGGCUCACACCUGUAAUCCCAGCACUUUGGGAGGCUGAGGCAGGCAGAUCACCUCAGGUCAGGAGUUCGAGACCAGCCUGACUAACAUGGUGAA